UUCAAUUCUACAAUAGGGAAUAAGGUAAAAGAUUCUUACCCGAAUCGGUAUCUAAAACAUUGAACUUUCUAUUACGCCUACUAGCGGUCCCUAGGUUUUAUGAUUUUUCUUGCAUAGAUUAAAACACGCUUUACGUACAUAGAAAUAUCCCAAAAAAAUCUAAAAUCAGUGUUAAAAAUAUUUUUUUUGACCAAUUUCAGAAUU
rnacentral:lncRNA from 1 species